rnacentral:rRNA from 1 species
AGUGAACGUUGGCGGCGUGGAUUAGGCAUGCAAGUCGAGCGAGAACCGUAGCAAUACGGGGACAGCGGCGAAAGGGACAGUAAUGUGUAGGUACCUACCUCCGGGUUCGGGAUAGCUGCGGGAAACUGCAGGUAAUACCGAAUAACGUCCCCGGACCAAAGGUGUGAUUCCACCUGGAGAGGGGCCUGCUUCCGAGGAGCUUGUUGGCGGGGUAACGGCCCACCAAGGCGACGAUGGGUAGAGGGUGGGAGAGCACGACCCGCGUCAUUGGGACUAAGACACUGCCGAGACACCUACGGGUGGCUGCAGUCGUGAAUCUUCGGCAAUGGGCGCAAGCCUGACCGAGGGACGCCGCGUGCGGGAUGAAGGCCUUCGGGUUGUAAACCGCUGUCGUAGAGGAGGAAAUGCAGGGGGGUUCUCCCCUCUGUUUGACCUAUUCUAGGAGGAAGUACGGGCUAAGUUCGUGCCAGCAGCCGCAGUAA